rnacentral:rRNA from 1 species
GAUUCGGCGUUGACUCCAAUUUCCGGCAGGAUCAACCGGAACCGGUCCGGCGUUGACUCCAAUUGAACCGCAGGCUUCACCCCUUGUGGUGCUCCCCCGCCAAUUCCUUUAAGUUUCAGUCUUGCGACCGUACUCCCCAGGCGGCAGACUUAACGGCUUCCCUGCGGCACUGGGUUGGCCCGAAGCCAACCCAUCACCGAGUCUGCAUCGUUUACAGCUGGGACUACCCGGGUAUCUAAUCCGGUUUGCUCCCCCAGCUUUCAUCCCUCACCGUCGAGCGCGUUCUGGCAAACCGCCUUCGCCACUGGUGGUCUUCAGUGGAUCAGUGGAUUUUACCCCUACCCACUGAGUACCGCUUGCCUCUCCCGCCUCCUAGCCCUGUAGUAUCUCCCGCAGCCCAUCUGUUAAGCAGGUGGAUUUAACGGAAGACUUGCAGAACAAGCUACGGAUGCUUUAGGCCCAAUAAUCGUCCCGACCACUCGGGGUGCUGGUAUUACCGCGGCGGCUGACACCAGACUUGCCCACCCCUUAUUCUGCACCAUUUUUAGAGGUGCCAAAAGAUUCCCUUAGCGGGAAUCACUCGGAGUAACCCUGUCAAGCUUUCGCCUAUUGCAGAGGUUUCGCGCCUGCUGCGCCCCAUAGGGCCUGGGCCCUUGUCUCAGUGCCCAUCUCCGGGCUCCUUCUCUCAAAGCCCGUACCGGUUAUUGGGUUUGGUGGGCCAUUACCCCACCAACAGUCUGAUCGGCCGCAGUCCAAUCCAGGGGCCAUAUAGGUUUCAGCCAUUGUCCAUUCCAGAAACCUUGGCCUAUCGCAGUUUAUCCUCAGUUUCCCGAGGUUAUCCACGUCCCCUGGGCAUGUUGACUACGUGUUACUGAGCCGUAUGCCACGCCUUGCGGCGUUGACUCGCAUGGCUUAGCCCCACUCUGAUAGCAGUCGGGUCCGGCAGGAUCAACCGGAAAU